GGAAUAAUAAAUAUAUAAAAUAACAAUAUAACCUUAGGAAAUAAAAGUACUAAUUAUAAAUUAACGUUGUGUGUAUAACUGUUAUAAGUGAAGCCAAUAAUAAGCAGCCGAAACCAGAUAGUGAAGUCAACAAUACGUUUUCCAGGUGUAAGAUGAGUGGUAGAGAUGGUUGGGUGCCCAUAGCUGCUGGACUGGUGGUGGGAGCAGGCCUGCUAGCGCUGAUAUACAAACUGCUCUGGUCGGGACCGAGCUACGCCAUUAUGUAUGAUCACAGCCCGGGCGCAAAAAAAUAUAAAUGCAGUUGUAUGGAUCCCAAAUUACCAUGCAAAAUUCACGAAAGCAGACGAAAAGAAACAUAGUGUGGAUUUACUUUAUGGCUGUCAAUGUUGUAAGCAAUGUUCAAAUUGUCGUGAAAUAUGUUAAAUGUUUAAAUCGAAAAAUCGAAUAAAAAAAUAGAAAAUACGAUGUGGUCUAUAAUAUAAAUCACAAAUCCACAAUAUAAACUAUGUGUGAUUGCCGAGAAGAAAAGCUCAACCGUGAACGUCAGCAACGGGAGGCGGGAAGACCAGCCAGGCGCGGCCGACGUGGGUUCGGAGGGCGAUGGGCCGCUCUGUUGGGGGGGUUCAUGGCUCUACUCGGCGUCAUGUAUUUCAAUAUGGAAAGAAUUAAAGCAAUAGGUGGAACAUAUCUGGGAAGUUUAUUACCUGGAGGCUCCAAGGAGGAAGGAUUUUCAGGAGGAUUCGGUGGGGGAUCAGCGGGAGGAUGCGCUGGAGGAUCCGUGGGAGGAAGCUCGGGAGGCGCCUCCGAGAGCAAGUGCGCAGAAAAGAAAUGCGCUGGUGGCAUUAAGCGGUUGCAGAACUCACAAAGCAAACCGUUUGAUCCCUGCAAUUGUCCAUAAUAAUUAAUAUUAUCGGAUGCAAUCGACAAGUUCACGGAUUACAACACUGCAGAACUAACGGCACAGGAUUAAAUAACUUCAGUUCCGAGUGAUAACAGAACACGAAUUGUUUUAGCUAAUAAAAUAUGUGACCAUGA